GGGCCUGUAGCUUAAAGGAUUGGAGCAUGUGGCCACGAACCACGGUGUCGGGGGUUCGAAUCCCUCCUUACCCA
rnacentral:tRNA from 1 species